AAGACGGUGGAGCAUGUGGUUUAAUUCGACGAUACGCGAAGAACCUCACCAGGCCUUGACAUGCAGAGAACUUUCCAGAGAUGGAUUGGUGCCUUCGGGAACUCUGACACAGGUGCUGCAUGGCUGUCGUCAGCUCGUGUCGUGAGAUGUUGGGUUAAGUCCGUAACGAGCGCAACCCUUGUCCUUAGUUACCAGCACGUUAUGGUGGGCACUCUAAGGAGACUGCCGGUGACAAACCGGAGGAAGGUGGGGAUGACGUCGAGUCAUCAUGGCCCUUACGGCCUGGGCUACACACGUGCUACAAUGGUCGGUACAAAGGGUUGCCAAGCCGCGAGGUGGAGCUAAUCCCAUAAAACCGAUCGUAGUCCGGAUCGCAGUCUGCAACUCGACUGCGUGAAGUCGGAAUCGCUAGUAAUCGUGAAUCAGAAUGUCACGGUGAAUACGUUCCCGGGCCUU
rnacentral:rRNA from 1 species